AGCGAACGCUGGCGGCAGGCUUAACACAUGCAAGUCGAGCGGGCACUUUCGUGUGUCAGCGGCGGACGGGUUAGUAACGCGUGGGAACUUGCCCUCUGGUUCGGAAUAACUCAGGGAAACUUGAGCUAAUACCGGAUACGCCCUUUUGGGGAAAGGCUUUCUGCCGGAGGAUCGGCCCGCGUCUGAUUAGAUAGUUGGUGAGGUAACGGCUCACCAAGGCGACGAUCAGUAGCUGGUCUGAGAGGAUGAUCAGCCACACUGGGACUGAGACACGGCCCAGAAUCCUACGGAAGGCAGCAGUGGGGAAUAUUGGACAAUGGGCGCAAGCCUGAUCCAGCCAUGCCGCGUGAGUGAUGAAGGCCUUAGGGUUGUAAAGCUCUUUUAUCCGGGACGAUAAUGACGGUACCGGAGGAAUAAGCCCCGGCUAACUUCGUG
rnacentral:rRNA from 1 species